rnacentral:sRNA from 12 species
UGCCAUAAGGGUCAGUAUUACCCUUAUGGCAAAUAUGUAGCAAGUAGCA